AACGACCGGCCAGGUACUCCCAUGUGCCCGGCCCACAAGUGGAGGCUCCGAUCUCCCACCUGACUGCCCUCCGGGGCGGCGGGUCAUCCGGUCAGACGGUAGCCAUCGUUCCGUACGGACGAUGGAGCCGUCCGAUGUGCGCCCCGCGGUUGACCGCGGCGGUGUUCCGGUUGUUCAUGGAGCCCCGCCUGUGUCCCGUCCGGGGCAUUUUUC
rnacentral:ncRNA from 1 species